rnacentral:rRNA from 1 species
CUACUAUAUAUCUCAUAGUGAAGUUCAAUUUUUUGUUAAGCUUCCUAGAGAAGCUCGUAUUACCGUUAAGUAAAAAAUACCUGUACCUUAAACCGACACAGGUAGGUGGGUAGAGUAUACCUAGGGGCGCGAGAUAACUCUCUCUAAGGAACUCGGCAAAAUGGCCCCGUAACUUCGGGGGAAGGGGUGCCUCUUUUAUAAGAGGCCGCAGUGACCAGGCCCAAGCGACUGUUUACCAAAAACACAAGUCUCCGCUAAGUCGCAAGACAAUAUAUGGGGGCUGACGCCUGCCCAGUGCCGGAAGGUGAAGGAAGUUGGUUAUUCUGUAUAGAAGAAGCUGACGACCGAAGCCCCGGUGAACGGCGGCCGUAACAAUGACGGUCCUAAGGUAGCGAAAUUCCUUGUCGGGUAAGUUCCGACCCGCACGAAAGGCGUAACGAUUUGGGCGCUGUCUCGGAGAGAGACUCGGUGAAAUAGACAUGUCUGUGAAGAUGCGGACUUCCUGCACCUGGACAGAAAGACCCUAUGAAGCUUGACUGUAGCUUGUAAUUGGGUUCGGGCUUUUUUUGCGCAGGCUAGGUGGGAGGCGAUGAUAAUUUUCUUCUGGGAAAAUUAGAGCCGUUCGUGAGAGACCACUCUGAAAAGGCUAGAAUCCUAAUAAUGAUCCUUGAAUCAGGACAUUUGACAGUUGCAGGUGGGCAGUUUCACUGGGGCGGUGGCCUCCUAAAAAGUAACGGAGGCGUGCAAAGGUUCCCUCAAGCUGGACGGAAAUCAGCUUAAGAGUGUAAAGGCAAAAGGGAGCUUGACUGCAAGACCUACAAGUCGAGCAGGGGCGAAAGCCGGCCUUAGUGAUCCGACGGUACCGCGUGGAAGGGCCGUCGCUCAACGGAUAAAAGUUACUCUAGGAUAACAGGCUGAUCUUCCCCAAGAGUUCACAUCGACGGGAAGGUUUGGCACCUCGAUGUCGGCUCAUCGCAACCUGGGGCGGUAGUACGUCCCAAGGGUUGGGCUGUUCGCCCAUGAAAGCGGUACGUGAGCUGGGUUCAGAACGUCGUGAGACAGUUUGGUCCAUAUCCGGUGUAGGCGUUAGAGUAUUGAGAGGAUUCUUCCAUUGUACGAGAGGACCUGGAAGAACGUACCACUAGUAUACCAGUUCUCAUUCCAAUGGGAUACGCUGGGUAGCCAAGUACGGAGCGGAUAACUGCUGAAAGCAUCUAAGUAGGAAGCCCACCUCAAGAUGAGUACUCUCAUCAAGGUCACGGUAAGACUAACCGUUUGAUAGGUAUCAAGUGAAAGAUCAGUAAUGAUUGAAGCCGAGAUAUACUAAUAGACCGUAUGAUUUU